rnacentral:rRNA from 1 species
UACGUAGGGUGCGAGCGUUAAUCGGAAUUACUGGGCGUAAAGCGUGCGCAGGCGGUUCGCCAAGUCAGGGGUGAAAUCCCCGGGCUUAACCUGGGAAUUGCGCUUGAAACUAGCGGGCUUGAGUGUGGCAGAGGGGGGUGGAAUUCCACGUGUAGCAGUGAAAUGCGUAGAGAUGUGGAGGAACACCGAUGGCGAAGGCAGCCCCCUGGGUCAACACUGACGCUCAUGCACGAAAGCGUGGGGAGCAAACAGG